CACCCCCCCCACCACCCAGGUGUCCCGCUGACUUCUUUUAAACCCAGUGCGGCUAUCACCAUGGUGCUAUCACUGACUUUCCCUCUUGUGUUCACAUUACUUCCUUGGGGUGCGCUGCCCUGGAAGGGCCCUUGGACAAGGAGGGAGAGGCUGCUUGGUGUGUCGAGUCCUCUUGCUGUCAGGAACGGCUUAGGCUGUGAGUCGCUGGUCCCACCAGCCACGAGCUAUCCCAUCUCCUCUGCCCCACGGUGUCCAUUGGGUUUUUUUUAUUCCUUUCGUGUCCUUAACAUACAGUGAUGUCUGAAAGCGUACCUCAGAGAGGCUUGGAGAUUUUCCACGCCCCACCUCCUUAGCUCUGCUCCCCACGGGCAGAGUGCCGAUCUCUCGGACUGUCGAGCAGGGGGUCCAAGUGGCCAUCGCAUCCUGGGCCUUCAUCCAUUCUGUGUGUAUUUUGUAAUGUGUGUGUUUUUGGAAUCUGCACUCUUGACUCUUUUUCGCAGGCAUUCGUCAUUUCUGUUUGUCACUCUUAACUUUCCCUGCCCUCUUGCACAUUGGUCAUCCUUCAGGUAGACGGUAGACCCAACGCUCCCCGAAGACGGGGCUUGCCAUACUGUUCACGUCGCAUCCCCGGAGCCUGGCACGAGGACCGGCCCAGAGUAGGCUUCGCCCGGUACUUGUUGGACAAGUAAAUAUGCUGCUUGGAAGGAGAAUUUGUGCAAACAUCUACCGUACUUUUGGUUAGGGAGAACAUUUUUUAAAAAUAAACUCUUUAUUUGACGACAACCUGAGGCUUGUGGAAACAUCGCGAAGAUGGUCGGGUUCCUGCGCGCCGCCCGCCUGGUUUCCUGCGCUGGUGACAUGUUGCAUCCUGCGGCGUGUUUGCACGGCGGCGCGAGCGUGUGGGCCAGGCACAGGAAAGCUACACUGAAGGACUUGAUGGAUUUUGUUUUUCAUGGAAGGCAACCAACUUACCCUGACUUGCCUGGAACUGUCCUGAGAUUUCUGCAUCUCGGAAAACCUCUCUGGGAUGCUGGGCCAGCUAGGAUGGUUGGUUAUGCCAGAAUGGCUUCCCUUUCCUGGUUCCAGCUCCCAGAACUCCAGCACCCACAGCCAGGGAACCAUGCUAAGGGCUGUGGAGGGCAAGUGCGACCUCGGGAGGUGCUUCAAAUGCAGGGUGUUUGCAAACCACAGGAUGACGUGAGGCCACAGGACGCACGUCACCUCAUGCUGACUGAGCCAGGACCAGAGGAGGCUAUCAUGAAGCAGGAGGUUCCGAGGUGGGUGAGGAGGGCUGGGUGGUCAGGAAAGCCUGGGAGGCUUCGUGGCAAGUGGCACUUAGACAGGGGAGAUAGUUUGGGUUGCUGUUUGGCAAAUAUUCAUAGCCUCUCACCCACUGUGGGCAGAGAAAGAAAAGUCGUUUCCUUUCCCCAUCAAUGCCAAGGGAGAUCAAGUGGCCUGUGCUGGUCAGUGGGAUGAUAGUGGACAAAGCACGAGCAGAGUGCGUGCUUGGAUCCUGUGCUCCGGUGGAUAUGCCUGGAGCAGGGCCCCACCAGCCUGGGCUUUGGAGAGAUACCUGGGGAGCAGACCUGGGCCCAGCCCACAGCCCGGAGUCAAGCUCAGGCCAUACCCAUCCUGAGACAGGGCUGGCCCGCUGAGUCCGUUUUUAACCAGCAGAAAGGAGAUCUGUCUGCAGACAUGUCAGAAUGAUGGCAGAUUCUUUUGUGAGCCACUGACUUUGGGGGAAGUUUGUUAUGCAGAGUUAUGUGGGAGAAGCUGACUAAGGCACUGGGUCUGAAAGAGGGAAGGUGUCAGGGAGAGGAGGGCUGUGCAGGGGUGCAGAAGUAAGAAGGCAGAACUCUGAGUGUGUGAGGUUAGCAGGGAGGCUGGACAGGGUUUGAGGAGGUGGGAGGCAGAGUUGGAAAAGCACAUUGGAAGCAGGCUGUACGAGCUAGUGGUGGUCCUAGAUCCCCUACCUGAGGGCACAGUCCUUCUCCCCCUUAUCAUGACCUCUGUAUCUAAGCUUGCUCCUGAAUUGCCAUAGAACUUGGGAAAAAGGUAUUUUUCUCUGGAUGACUACAGGUGCCUACUGCUCCCCCCAGAACACCUGGAUGUUUCAGUGAGGGGCUCGGUACCCGAGGGUGUUCUGAGCAGGUCCAGGCUCUGGGUUUUACCUUGGUUCUGGUGCCUUGGCCCUCAGUUCAUCCAAAUGGUCUCUGAGGACCCUCCUUCCCUGACGUCCCAGCCAAAGAGUGGUGAACACAGAGGCAGGUGCCAGAAUCAACGAGUUGCCUGGAGGGAAGCAGGAUGGGCUUGGAAGUCCGGAUACAUAGCCGGGAGCCCAUGAUGGUCUGGAGAAGAGCCGUGGAUGCAGCUAGCACGUGGCCCCAGCAAGUGAUCGGGCUCAGAGUGCUGGUUGAGGGCAGGAGGCCGGGGAGGAGGAGAGGACAGGCCCGGGGAGGAGAGGAUCCAACCUGAGCACCAUGAGUCCAACAAAAGCAACAACCAACACGGUACAAAGUUUCCAAAUAUAAACAGCACACAACCUCGUCAAGAUGUUAAUUAGGGCUCAUUAGCCGCGAACAAGCUUGGUGCGGCCUGGGGAGGCAGGCUCGGGCAGAGGGCGUCUCCUGGAACCUUCUGUCUGCCCUGGCGACUCAAGCCUGCGCCCAUCUGCCGGGGCCCGCCGGCUGCCCGGCCUUCUGCUCGGUGGCCCCGCACCACCCCGACCCCUCUGUGUCGGGCCUGAUCGUCCCGGCGGCCUGGCUUCUGUCAGUGCCGUGGUCCGAUGCGUACGUGACGAAGGCGUGUGGAGCCGCCCAUACGACACAGAAUCCGCGCGAACUGUCUGCCGUGGCGGCAGGGAUGGGUUGGGGGAGCGGCAGCUGCUCACGGCCGCCGGUCCCCGGUCACAGCGGGGCUGGGACCCCAAGCCCCUUGCCAAGCUCGUGUCACCAGAUGAGAGCAGAACCUCCUUGGAGCGGGGAGAGGAGGUAAUUCCUUCCUGCCCUGCCCGUAAAAUGACCUCCACUUGGGGCAAAACAAAACAAGAAAUCGAUGCGGCCCGGAUCCCCGGGCUUUUCCUCAUUGUUAUCAUUAUCUGCUCCGCUGGACCUGCGAGGACCCGAGGCGCCUUCCCAAAGGUUUUGGGCAGCCCGGAUGGUGCCGAUAAUUGCCAUCACUGAAUCGGCUCCCUGGGCUGUGCCACCAGGAGCAGCUGGGUUGUGUCGGGUCUCGGGACAAGGAGAGAAUUUUGCCGCGCUGUGGUUUUCAAGCCCAUCUAGGCUGGGAGGAUGGGGAGGAGGAGGGGGAGGACCUGCAAGAGGGGUCCCUGCCAGGGAGGGUGCUGCUGGUGUCCCACCGAAUCCGGCGGCUUGGAGCGGCCCCUCUGUGGAGCACUACCCCCCGUCCCCGCAACCAGGACAGGCAGUACAAGGGGCUGGCCCCAGGCUGAGGUCCCCUCCUGCCACUCCCCUGCCCCAGGUGUCCCCUCCCUCUGCCUUCCUGGCAGCGCUCAUGGGAGUCCCCACCCGGAGCCCCCUGGUUGUGCGCUUCUUCUAGGUCAUCUGGUGAGGACACCGUAGGGACAUCCUGCAAUCAUUAAAAUCUGCAAGCUGCACGCAGGUCUCAGCCCCCCAGCAGGUAAUGGGUGGGUCGUUUCUAAGCGUGAGGGGCAGUGGCCACAGCGGCUGUCCCUGCAGGUUCCAGCUCAUGGCGGGGGUGGGGCGGGUUUCCCCUCUCACCUGCCAGCCACCACCCCUUUCUCUCUGCCUGCCCUGUGGACCUCACGUUCCUCAGAGAGACACCUUACGUCGCUCCCUCCGUCGUGGUGUGGAGUCAAAUCCCUGUAAAAGUACCCCUGCAGAAGUGUGUGUGCACGUGUGUGUGUCUGUGUUGGUGCACGUAGACACACAUGCGUGCACAUGCAUGUACACGGGUCUGUGUGAAUGUACAUCAGUGCACAUGAGUCUAGUAUCUGCGUGUACACACGCAUGUGCACAUCUCUGUGUGCAUACGUAUACAUGUGUGUGCGUCCAUGUGGGUGUGCACGCCUCUCUGUGUACACGUGUGUGUGUAGGUGCACAGGCCAGGCUCCCAGGGCUCUGCUGGCCCAGGGGGGUGGGGAGAGGUCUCAGCUCCACGGUCCUCUGGUCUCCUCCUGUCCACCUGCAGGUGCUGACGCGUCUCUGCCCUUGGCCCGUUACCUCCUAUCGCAGCAUUCGGUUUUCUUGUCACAGCACUCAGAGGCACCUGCGGUGACAUGGUGACUCUUCUUGCCAACGUGCUCUGUGUCUCCCCGAGGGCUGGUGCUAUGCCCAGGGGGAAGCCUGAGGCCUGGCUCUCUGGAGGCUUGAGGCGGUCCGUGGGCUUCCUCCUUGGCCACAGUGGAAAUCUGGACCCUGUCUCUGACCGGUGUGGCUGUCAGCCUUUUGUGUUCUUUGGGGCUGGCGACCAGGGCCGGGCCUCUUCCCUGCACAGAGGGCACACUCCAGCGCAUCAGCGUCCUGGGAAACAGCUCUCUGGAUGCCACCAGGAGAGAAGCAGUUUCCAGGUGCCCAGUGUGAUCAAUGCACCAGGAAACGUGUUCACGCGUGUCCAUUUUGUUCCUGGGAGUCUGGGGGUGGCUGGGAGGGCACGGCUCCGGGGCUGGCCUGGAGAAGGCAGCCUACGGGCAUGGGCUGGCCCUCGGUCCCCACACCGUGCCCCCGGGAGCCCCCACCUGCCUCACCGCAGGCUGCCCGCGUUCCCUCCAGGUGGGCUGAGAGGGCAGCGAACACGCAGGGAGCCGCUGGGUCCUGCCACAGAGACCCGGAAGAAAUACCUUUUGCUCCCCACCCUUCCCGCCAGGAGGACGUCCGGAGCCCUCUGCCCCAGCUCCUGGGAUGCAUGAGCGUGCCGAGGGUCUGGUCUGCAAGGUGCUGUUUGCUGCUGGGGAAGGAGCGUUGAGUGGAAGAGUCCCUUGCAGAAAAGACGGGGACUUGGCCUCUCCCCGCCGCUAACAGAUUGCAGCUGGCGGGGCGAGAUCACAGGCUCUGCCUUCAGUCCUCGUCGGCACUGACGGUAUCGGGAAUGUCCGGAGCGGUUCUGUUUGCUGAGCCAGCUGGACAUGUUGCACAGCAAGUGGCCAGCAGCGGUGAGUCCCAGCCAUGACCUUCACCCCAGAAGGAGGCCGCUUCGUUUUGAAGCUGCGCUGAACCGUGCCACGGCCGAGACCCGACUCUUCUCCCCCAGCGAAGAGAUUAAGAUCCUUAAAUGCCUCCUGGCAAAAGGGACAGCUGUCUCUUUAUCCUUAAAAUGCAAAUCAGCAAGGAGCACGCUGCCCAGGUCCCGUUGGGGUGCUGGCCCUGUGACCUGACCCCAUCGAUCCCCCUGAUUGGCGUCCGAUGAGUUGUGGGCGGCGGUCAAUAUCCCUUCACUUCUGCAGGCGAAUGCAGAGGGCAGUGGGAGACAGGGAGCCCCGGGCCGGGACACCAGCCCUGCCAGCUGUCAGAGAGCCCACACUCCGGCCUGAGCUGCACCCCAGAAUCAGCACAGUGAUGAGCGACGGUCAGCCACACACGGCUCACAGGACCCCAGUGGGCUCCUGGUGGAUGGAAAAUAACUCACGCAGGCACGGCUUGACCGCAGCUCGCCUCGUGUCUGGUGUCUCCAGCAGCGGCCCGCCGGGGGCCUCUCUGUCUCUGGCUUCACCUUCCAUCUUCUCCUGCCCCAGCGACACUCGGCCUUGUCACCCACCGGCUCAGUCCAGUCUGUGGUCUCAGCGCCCUGAACCCAGACCUGGGCAGCCGAUUCAUGAUUGUUGAAUGACUGAGUGCAUUUCUGGUGGGGCUGUUCUGUCCCCUCUCACUGUGUCUGGUCACUGUUUGAGCUUCUCAUCCCUUGGGCCAGGACUUCUGUGUGGGGCAUGUGCCUGGAUAUUUCCACUCCUGGGAAUCCUCCUAUACAUCCUUCAGAACCCCACUCAAAUGUCACCUCCUCCAGGAAGCCUUCUGUUGUCUCCAGCUAGAAGUGGUCCUUUCCUCCCUGAGCUCAGGGUGCGUGCUUAGUGGUCUCCAGUAACAAUGGCUGCUUUUUUGUUCUCACUAACUGUGCAGUCAUGGCACACUGUCCUUGGCCUCAUCUGGGGUUCUUUCUGAGAGGAAGUUGGAUUUCGAACGUCCCCUCAUUUCUGUGUCUCGGCUGGAAAUACUGCUGUGGCGCCAACACUUUGAAGCCAAGUCUUAGAUCUGACCUCUUUUCUUUUGGGCGUCCGGUGCUGGGCCUUUGCCGGCUGCCAAACCCUUAACCGUGGGGUGCUUUCAUCUUGUCUGGACUCCAGUGGCCAGUAGGACCAUCAGGUACACCUCUUCCCCCUGCCGCUAGCCAUGCUCCCUGCUGCCGCUAAGGGGAUAGAUUUAGGGUGGGAACCGGCUGGGGUCCCUCCUCUGCUCACACCCAGCCCCUGGUGGUCCUGGCUGCCCAGCCCAACCUGCGGGUCCCUGUCACCUGCCAUCCCCUGGUCCACCAUGCCCCAUAGUGCGGGCCCCUCACGUGCCUCCUUGUGCCUCUGCGUCUUUGCUCACCCGUGCCCUCUGCCUGGUGUGUCCGCUCCCUGUCUCUGCUGCUGGUCCGCCUUUAAGACUGAACUGAGGAAUCUCCCGGGAAUCCUGAGCCUCCGGGCUGCAUGUCUGGACCUCACCUCACCCCCCUCUCUUGAACUUGUCAUCUUCCAAGGCCACAGGCUGCGUUCUGUGUGUCUCUGGACUGCCAGUUCCUGGCCCAGCCUUUGCUGAGCCCGCCACGGGAGGCUGAGCGGGCCAACCCUCCAGGAGCCCAAUGUGGGGCUGGACAGCAGGCUGGCCUCAUCCAUGAUGAGCGGGCAUGACCACGGCCCCGCUGUGGCAGUGCUCUCUGUCAGGGCCGAUGCCUCCCUCUAAAACCCAUACCUCAUCCUCACCUAGCAGGGCUGGAGGCCACCCCGGGAGCGUGGCCUUGACUGUGAGCAGGAUGUAUCAGUCAGUCCUGCUGACCGCUGGACAGGCAGUCCUCAGACACCACGGACUCGACACACAGCCUGCUUACUUCUGCUCACAAUGUCCAGCUGACUUUGUCCCCAGAAGGGACUCAGCUGGCUGUGGAGGCAACAUAGGGACAGUCCAACAGGACACAGCCACCUCAGUCUGGAAGUGACAGCACGUCCUUCCAAUCCUCCCCCUUUGGCCAGAACAGGACAUCUGGUCUCCCUGGCAUGCUGUGGGGGUGCGGGCAGGGCCGGCCCCGCGGACGCCUGCUCUGGAGCCUGCUCACUGUCUCUGCCAGGGACUUCAGGCUCAGCUUGGCCACGGUACGUGACAGCUCUGUGCCCCAAAUUUCCUGACUUUUGAAGUGAGCACAAUAAAACUAUCAUGGGGAUUCAUGUCCCACCAUCGGGAAAGUGGCUUUUGUGAGGCUUGGCACCAGGUAUGUAUCUGCCCUCCGUGGCUACUCAGCAUUUCAUGGAGACAGAAGCGCCUGGAGAGGCACCAGUGACAGCUCAGGACACUUCUUGUGCUGCUGGAGCCCGGUCCCUCCUCCCAGAGAGCGAGCGCUCCCUCUGAGUCCCGUUCCUGGAACCCAGGGUCGAAAGCCAGAAAAUCCACGGAUGCCACGCCUCGCGUAUGGCACACAGCCCAUGGCCCCAACACGUGGUUUCGCCAGAGCCAGCCUGGGGUCGCGCCCAAUUUACAGUGGAGCAAAGAGAGGCCCAAGGACUUGUCUGCCUCAGGGCAGGACUGGGCUCCGACCCCCCUUUCCGGUUUCUAGGCCCUUCCUCUGGGCUCUGCUCCUGGCCCCCUUCCCGAUGAAGAGGGCUCCUCCCCCAGCUCAUGGCAGGUGUCGGCAGGAUGACAAAGUCUGGGCAGAACACGUCCCACGUGCUCGUGUGGCAGAAGCUCUCGGGACACAACGAGAAAACUCGGUAAAAGGAGACGUGAGAACGUGGAUGGUGUCUCGGGAGCCGCCACAGGUCUUGGGUAUUCUUGUCGAUUCAGGAGAGCGAAGCAGAGCCCGGGGGGGCUUGCCAGGUCCCGUGUCACCCGCUCUUCCACCCGAAGACGCAGGUAACAACAUUUGCUAGAUGGAGAAGUGCCACCUUUCUGCACCACGGCCGGACGGCGGAAGUGGCCAUGGGUCCGUUGAUGGUUGCAUGAACACGGGAACAGCCGCGCACAGUGUGUUACCCAGACGUGAAGAGGAAGUGGCUUCUGACACCGGCUACGGUGCGUGUCGCCUUGAGAUUGUUCUGUGGAUCGAAGUAAUCCAGUCGCAGGACAAGUACCGUAAGAUCCCACCGAUGCGAGAUCCCCGGAGUCGUCCGAUUCGUAGGGACAGGAGGUGGGCGGGGCGUGUCAGGCUCGGGGAGGCGGGAGGUGGUUGAUGUCUAAUGGACACAGAGUUUGGCUCUGAGACGCGAGGAUGUGGGCGGACGGUGGUGACGGCUGCUCCAUGAUGUGGAGCCACAGAGCUGUGUGCUCGUACGCAGUUAAAUGCUCAAUUUUAUGUUAUGUGUAUUUUACUAC